CCUGAGAUGUGAUGCCGAGCCGAUUGUGGUGAAGUGGAUGAUCCUAUGCUGCCGAGAAAAGCCUCUAGUGAGUGUUGUGGCGGCCCGUACCCUAAACCGACUCAGGUGGUCAGGUAGAGAAUACCAAGGCGAUCGGGUGAACUGUGGUUAAGGAACUCGGCAAAUUGCCCCCGUAACUUCGGGAGAAGGGGGACCUCUGCUGGUGAUGGGCUUUACGUUCUGAGCUGGUGGGGGUCGCAGUGGCCAGGGGGAAGCGACUGUUUACUAAAAACACAGGUCCGUGCGAAGUCGUAAGACGAUGUAUACGGACUGACGCCUGCCCGGUGCCGGAACGUUAAGGGGACCGCUUAGCCAACGCGAGUUGGCGAAGGUGAGAACUUAAGCGCCGGUAAACGGCGGUGGUAACUAUAACCAUCCUAAGGUAGCGAAAUUCCUUGUCGGGUAAGUUCCGACCUGCACGAAUGGCGUAACGACUUCCCCGCUGUCUCAACCACAGACCCGGCGAAAUUGCACUACGAGUAAAGAUGCUCGUUUCGCGCAGCAGGACGGAAAGACCCCGGGACCUUCACUACAGCUUGACAUUGGCGUUUGGAACGUCUUGUGUAGGAUAGGUGGGAGACUGGGAAGCUGUCACGCUAGUGAUGGUGGAGUCAUUGGUGAAAUACCACUCUGGUCGUUUUGAACGUCUAACUCUGGUCCGUGAUCCGGAUCGGGGACAGUGUCUGGUGGGUAGUUUAACUGGGGCGGUUGCCUCCUAAAGAGUAACGGAGGCGCCCAAAGGUUCCCUCAGCCUGGUUGGCAAUCAGGUGUUGAGUGUAAGUGCACAAGGGAGCUUGACUGUGAGACUGACAGGUCGAGCAGGAGCGAAAGCUGGGACUAGUGAUCCGGCAUCGGCGUGUGGAAGCGGUGUCGCUCAACGGCUAAAAGGUACCCCGGGGAUAACAGGCUGAUCUUCCCCAAGAGUCCAUAUCGACGGGAUGGUUUGGCACCUCGAUGUCGGCUCGUCGCAUCCUGGGGCUGGAGUAGGUCCCAAGGGUUGGGCUGUUCGCCCAUUAAAGCGGUACGCGAGCUGGGUUUAGAACGUCGCGAGACAGUUCGGUCCCUAUCCGCUGCGCGCGCAGGAGACUUGAAGGGGGCUGUCCCUAGUACGAGAGGACCGGGACGGACGAACCUCUGGUGUGCCAGUUGUACCGCCAGGUGCACGGCUGGUUGGCUACGUUCGGAAGGGAUAACCGCUGAAAGCAUCUAAGCGGGAAGCUCGCCUUGAGAUGAGGUCUCCCACCCCGUGAGGGGGUAAGGCUCCCGGUAGAUCACCGGGUUGAUAGGCCGGAGGUGGAAGCACGGUAACGUGUGGAGCUGACCGGUACUAAUAGGCCGAGGACUUGACCG
rnacentral:rRNA from 1 species